UUGACCUCGAAUCAGGUAGGGAUACCCGCUGAAGCUUAAGCAUAUCAAUAAGCGGAGGAAAAGAAACCAACCGGGAUUACCUUAG
rnacentral:rRNA from 1 species